UCGGAUGAAGUUAGAUUUGGGCAGGCAUGCCCCUAACUUCCGGCGCCUAAUAAAGCACCUUCUUAUAAUCACUUUGUGGAUUAUGUGUCUUCAUGAAUGCUAACAUUUUGGUGACCCA